rnacentral:rRNA from 1 species
ACCGGUCGUGCGUUCAUAUACGAUACGCUUUCAAAGAGUCGAGUUGUUUGGGAUUGCAGCUCCAAACGGGUGGUAAACAUCACCUAAGGCUAAAUAUUGGCGAGAGACCGAUAGCGAACAAGUACCGUGAGGGAAAGAUGAAAAGAACUUUGAAAAGAGAGUUAAACAGUACGUGAAAUUGUUGAAAGGGAAACGAUUGAAGUCAGUCGUGCUGGCGCGAAAUCAACCCUCUCGUCUUGAGAUCACAUGGCGCGACGAGCCUCAAAACCGUCACGAAGCGUGAACUCUUGACGAAAAGGUGCACUUUCGUGUCCGCUGGUUAACAUCAAUUUCGAUCGUCAUAAAAAGGCUGGAGGGAUGUGGCUCCUUCGGGAGUGUUAUAACCUUUAGCGGAAUGUGCGUGUUCGGGAUUGAGGAUUGCAACGAAUACCUUCAGGGCUGUUGCCACCUGGCUUCUCAUUGGUAUCCUGGUGACGACAGUCUUGCUGACGUCGUUAGGAUCCGCCUCUGAACAGGCUAGAGUGUGAGCAAAUUCGUUAAGGAUGUU